AGUAAAGUGCCUGAAUAAAAGGAUUAUCGUGAUAGGAUAAAUCAUGUAAUAUUUUACCUUUACUA
rnacentral:tRNA from 2 species